CAGUAGCCACGGUAAUACAGAGGGUGCGAGCGUUAAUCGGAUUUACUGGGCGUAAAGCGUGCGUAGGCGGCUUUUUAAGUCGGAUGUGAAAUCCCUGAGCUUAACUUAGGAAUUGCAUUCGAUACUGGGAAGCUAGAGUAUGGGAGAGGAUGGUAGAAUUCCAGGUGUAGCGGUGAAAUGCGUAGAGAUCGGAAGGAACAUCUGUGGCGAAGGCGACUAUCUGGGCCAACACUGACACUGAGGCACGAAAGCGUGGGGAGCAAACAGGAUUAGAUACCCGCGUAGUCCCUGUCUCUUAUAC
rnacentral:rRNA from 1 species